UACGAGGGGGGCAAGCGUUGUUCGGAAUUAUUGGGCGUAAAGGGCGCGUAGGCGGUCUGAUAAGUCUUGUGUGAAAUCUCUGGGCUCAACCCAGAGUCUGCAUAGGAAACUGUCGGGCUUGAGUAUGGGAGAGGUGCGUGGAAUUUCCGGUGUAGCGGUGAAAUUCGUAGAUAUUGGGAAGAACACCGGUGGCGAAGGCGGCGACCUGGUCCUUGACUGACGCUGAGGCGCGAAAGCGUGGGGAGCAAACAGG
rnacentral:rRNA from 1 species